GAAGCCUCUUUAAAUUCUAAUCGUAUUGUAAUGCCGCAUAGGUAAUAUAUAUCCUAUAGGGGUAUUUGUGAAUUAGGUUUACUUACCUGUUAAUUGUUUUCCUGAUCUGCGUCUCAAAUUGUGCACAGCCAUAUUCUUUCUGUAGAUUAUCGCCAUUACUGUUUAAUAGAAUAUUAACACAAAUUUUGCAACAAAGGAAAACACCAGUCUAUAUAAUUGAUCAUCUAAAACAAUGUGGCGGGGACCCUGUGCAGUAGAGUAUUAUGG